rnacentral:rRNA from 1 species
AUGAAGCCGGAAUUGCUAGUAAUGGCAGGUCAGCAUACUGCCGUGAAUACGUUCCCGGGCCUUGUACACACCGCCCGUCACACCAUGAGAGUUGGAGAUACCCGAAGCCUGUGAGCUAACAAACGAGGCAGCAGUCGAAGGUAGAAUCAAUGAUUGGGGUGAAGUCGUAACAAGGUAGC